GUGAUUUUAGUUUAAUUAUAAAAUGGUAGAUUGUCUUUUUACAGAUGGUUUGUUUAAACCAAAUUGCU
rnacentral:tRNA from 1 species